rnacentral:rRNA from 1 species
GAUGAACGCUGGCGGCGUGCCUAAUACAUGCAAGUCGAGCGAACAGAUGAGGAGCUUGCUCCUCUGACGUUAGCGGCGGACGGGUGAGUAACACGUGGAUAACCUACUUAUAAGACUGGGAUAACUUCGGGAAACCGGAGCUAAUACCGGAUAAUAUAUUGAACCGCAUGGUUCAAUAGUGAAAGACGGUUUUGCUGUCACUUAUAGAUGGAUCCGCGCCGCAUUAGCUAGUUGGUAAGGUAGCGGCUUACCAAGGCAACGAUGCGUAGCCGACCUGAGAGGGUGAUCGGCCACACUGGAACUGAGACACGGUCCAGACUCCUACGGGAGGCAGCAGUAGGGAAUCUUCCGCAAUGGGCGAAAGCCUGACGGAGCAACGCCGCGUGAGUGAUGAAGGUCUUCGGAUCGUAAAACUCUGUUAUUAGGGAAGAACAAAUGUGUAAGUAACUAUGCACGUCUUGACGGUACCUAAUCAGAAAGCCACGGCUAACUACGUG